GAAAAAGAUGGCAGGCACGUUACAUGAUGACUCAAGGGAAGGAAAAGGUUAACCUGAAUGGUACUUACCAUUGUCCGGUCACCAGGCUCUGCUCCUCCAUAUCUUAAAGAGACAAACAGACAUGAAGUGCUGCUCAGCCAAAUACUGACUUAUAUUCCAAAUACUGAACAUAUAUUUUCUGCAGGUUGAGAGAAAAGAAGGGAGCCCUGCUCAGCUGCAGCCAGGCACAGUUGAAACAGUCACAGUAGGAGAUCAGGGCAGAAAUGACCCUCUGCCACAAUGUAAAGACCUGAUGAAGCAGAUAAUCUGUGAAACGCGUUGCAUGAUGGGUGAUUAAAGUUGAUUCUACCUUCCGAGUGUGUCCAGCGCCUCCUGAUGUCCGCCACCUCCUUGGAGGCUCCCUGUUUAUUUGUACAAUGUAAAGGUGUCUUCAAACCAUAUUUUCUAAACUAACUCAGAUUAUAUUCCCUAACUACUCCUAACACCCCUCCUGCCCUUAAUUUUUUUUCGAGCUUUAGAAAGCUGUGUAUCAUAUCUUUCCCCUUGUUCACACCAUGUGAGCUCCCGGCAGGAGAAAGUGGGCAUUUCCCAGCAGGCGUGAGAGCUGUGCCUCGCCAUGCCCUGCACGCACUUCCUGAGUUUGGUUUCCUGCCAGGUCAGGAAGAAACCAAGCUAACUGUUUGACUUGUGAGGGAACAGAACAGAGCCACCUAGUGGCCAUUUUUUCAAUCACAUUAAAAACAUGUAAAGGUUGAGAAUUUUAACAGCAAGUAAAUGGCAAAGUGUCUUAUGAUUACAUAAGGAACAAUAUAUUAAAAGUUUAGUUUGGUGACAGGUACUCUUAAACCCCUUAAAGGGGUAUUCCAGGAUUUUUUUUUAUUUGACUAUGCUACAGGGGCUGUAAAGUUACAUAGUUACAUAGUUAGUACGAUCGAAAAAAGACAUACGUCCAUCAAGUUCAACCAGGGAAUUGAAGGGUAGGGGUGUGGUGGGAUAUUGGGGGAAGGGAUGGGAUUUUAUAUUUCUGCAUAAGCAUUAAUGUUAUUUUGUUAGUUAGUGUAGUUCAUAAUAUAGUGUCUGUACCUGUGUGUGAAGGUUUUCUCCCAAUUCUUUUGUGAUUUUCACCCCAAUAUUUCUUUUUAACUGCAUACAAAAUGACUGUUGUCUCAGAUUUUUCCCAGGUUGCAAUGUGGCCGAGACCUGACUCACUAGUCAGCUGAUGACAGGGAACCUGUCUGCUUCAAUGGGUGGAGGGAUCGCUUGGUGGGAGAGAGAUCAAUCUGCAACUAAUGCAACAGCUGUAGGCACCCUGAUUGAAAACCACAGGUCUUUUGAAUGGAUGCAGCUCAUUUAUGUUUCAAUGGGUGGGGUGGCUGAUGUGUGGGAGGGAGGAAAAUGGAAUUAUGGGAUUUGUAGGCAAAAGAAGAAAACAAACAGGAAAUACCAGUUCACAAAAAGCUAGCCACAGUGUUAUGGUAAUCUCACAACAUAGCCAUUUACCCCAAGACAAGUGCAGAUCCUUCCUAAGCAUGUCCAUUACUGUCUGCCAGGUACGUACUAAAAUCACCUUAUGCUGGAUAACACCUUUAAUGACGCAGACUAUUUUGACCUUAAAGAGUACCUG